AACGAACGCUGGCGGCAGGCUUAACACAUGCAAGUCGAACGCCCCGCAAGGGGAGUGGCAGACGGGUGAGUAACGCGUGGGAAUCUACCCAGUUCUACGGAACAACACAGGGAAACUUGUGCUAAUACCGCAUACGUCCUACGGGAGAAAGAGGGCCUCUGCUUGCACGCUCUCACUCCAGGAUGAGCCCACGUCCGAUUAGCUAGUUGGUAGGGUAAAGGCCUACCAAGGCCACGAUCGGUAGCUGGUCUGAGAGGAUGAUCAGCCACACUGGGACUGAGACACGGCCCAGACUCCUACGGGAGGCAGCAGUGGGGAAUAUUGGACAAUGGGCGCAAGCCUGAUCCAGCAAUGCCGCGUGUGUGAAGAAGGCCUGCGGGUUGUAAAGCACUUUCAGUGGGAAGAACAGAUUCGGGUCAAUACCCCGGAGCCCUGACGUUACCCACAGAAGAAGCACCGGCUAACUCCGUGCCAGCAGCCGCGGUAAAGUGUG
rnacentral:rRNA from 1 species